AAAGAACUGCCUUCGGGGAGUUGAGGAAAUGAACGGCGACAUCUGCAAAACGUUUGAAGAGUGGCUGAGAAGAUGGGCUGGAUGGACGAGGGACUGGACUCGACGGAAAAGAAGUUGAGGAGUAUGAUUGGCAAGACUCGUCAUGCUGGGACAAGCGGUUCUGGAUCGGGAUUUGCCUUCGCCAAAGCGGCCCAGAGCGAGUCCAGCGAUGAAGAGUUUGACAAAUUUCUUGUGGAAAACUUUACACCCCAAG